CGGACCGGCGCACGGGUGAGUAACGCGUAUGCAACUUACCUAUCAGAGGGGAUAACCCGGCGAAAGUCGGACUAAUACCGCAUGAAGCAGGGGCCCCGCAUGGGGAUAUUUGCUAAAGAUUCAUCGCUGAUAGAUAGGCAUGCGUUCCAUUAGGCAGUUGGCGGGGUAACGGCCCACCAAACCGACGAUGGAUAGGGGUUCUGAGAGGAAGGUCCCCCACAUUGGUACUGAGACACGGACCAA
rnacentral:rRNA from 1 species